AUACAAUGUAAGCCGCCAAGCGAAAGCGUUAAGUAUUCCACCUGGGGAGUACGCCGGCAACGGUGAAACUCAAAGGAAUUGACGGGGGCCCGCACAAGCGGAGGAACAUGUGGUUUAAUUCGAUGAUACGCGAGGAACCUUACCCGGGCUUGAACUGCCAGCGACGGAUGCAGAGACGCAUCUUUCUUCGGACGCUGGCGGAGGUGCUGCAUGGUUGUCGUCAGCUCGUGCCGUGAGGUGUCGGCUUAAGUGCCAUAACGAGCGCAACCCUCACCCUCGUUUGCCAUCAGGUUAUGCUGGGCACUCCGGGGACACUGCCAUCGUAAGAUGUGAGGAAGGUGGGGAUGACGUCAAAUCAGCACGGCCCUUACAUCCGGGGCUACACACGUGUUACAAUGGGCGGUACAGAGGGCAGCCACUGCGCGAGCAGGAGCCAAUCCUCAAAGCCGUUCUCAGUUCGGACUGGAGUCUGCAACCCGACUCCACGAAGCUGGAUUCGCUAGUAAUCGCGCAUCAGCCAUGGCGCGGUGAAUACGUUCCCGGGCCUUGUACACACCGCCCGUCAAGCCAUGAGAGCCGGGGGGACCCGAAGUCGGUAGUCUAACCGCAAGGAGGACGCCGCCGAAGGUAAA
rnacentral:rRNA from 1 species